GGGAGACACAGUUGCUCAUUUAGAACUAAAAGAGAACAUGUCCUGUGUCUGAAAAGCCAAUACAGAAAAUACUACAGCAAAUCAUGUGCCUGCAGCAUUACUGAAGUGAUUUUUUCAGCUCUGCUAAUAGUGGCAAGGGAAGAAAUAAAGCAAUGCUGCAGGCACUGACUGGACUACAAUUUCAGCUCAGAGGAAAGCUACAGGAUCAAGAGUGGACAGACAAGCACUCUCAAGAAGAAGCCCAUGCACACUAUUCACAGUGUCAUAUGCCAGUUCCACAGUAUCCUGGGUUCAAUGGAUUUUUUCCGGUGGGAGCACACUUUUCAUCAGACAAAGCUCCAGCAAUCUCAGAGGUACCUGUAUUACCGCCAGAUAUUUACAAAGCAGAUUGCUGAUCACUGUGUUAUCUGCAGAAAGCUAUUCUUAAUUGUAACAUAUUGAGCUUGUUUUGAAGUGCACGUAAAUGAAAUCCAGGUGGGAGGUGUGGGGUUAACCUGUUGGAGUUAACAUGGUCUAAAAAAAUAUGUAGGGCUCAAAUAAGCAAGUGAUAGAGUGUUACCUAACUAGGUCUUGUUCCCAUUCUGCCCCAAAACAUAAGCGUUAAACCAUUAAUUUUAGGAUCAACUCUCUAACCAUCUGGGGUGACAAUUUACACUCCACCUUCCCUUUGGAUAGUGCAAUGUCUCUGGAGUUUUCUUUCCACACCAUGCUGUAAUUCCAGGCAGCAGACAGGCUGAGGUCCAGCUGGCAGGGAGCAGGAACAGGGCUCAGCAGCUCCAUGUCUGCUCCCUUACCCUGUGACAGAACAGGCAGCUUCCCAUGACAUGGGGAGAGAGGACGCUGCCUUGUGGUAAGUCUAUGUCUGGCAGAUGUGUUCUUGACAUCAGCCAUUUGAGAAUACAGUUUUUUUCAUGCACUGCUGUUGGCAGCCUGAGGUGGUCCUGGACUGAGGUCUGGUCUCCAAGCUCCAAGGACAAGCGAUGGGGCACUGGUUUGGUACAGUGGCCACAGUGUUUGGUACAAUAUCGCAAAGGCUGCCCAGUCUUUGGCAUCAGCAGGGCCUGGGCAGGGAUGCAGAACAGCCCUUUGUCAGUCAUACCAUCUCUUGCAAGCCUUGCAAGAAUGGAUGCUAUAAAACCAUCAUAGAACAGAUCAGAUGAUGCCACCAUAUUUCUAUCUGUUGAAAAGGGAAGUAACUGUGGUAUUUCAGAUACCACAUGGUGGCAGCUGUUGAUAAAGGCUGAUGUUAAUUUGGUGUUCAUUUUUAAAGCUGAAGAAUGAUUAAUUGCAGUGAAUGGAGCAGCCAGAUAGCCGUUACAGAGGUGUUACAUCAAGAAUGUUCUGAUAGCUUGGUAUCUGAUGCACUGACUCUUUCUUUCUCAUUUAGCAUUGGUAAGGAAAAUAAAAAGAUAAGUAGAGAUUCAGCUGCUAUCCAAACUCUGAAUCCAACAAUGAAUAUUUUAAACCUUUCUUUGGCUGCUAAUGAACUUUCCCUCCAGUUCUUGCCACUCCCUUUCUCUUCUGGGCUCCCUUCACUCUUCUGUUCCUCCAGUACUCCUCACUCUAGCCUGGGGAAAAGAAGUUUGAGAAAAAUAAUAAAGUUUUUAUUUAUUCCUUACAGCUUUUCUGCCCCUGUGGGCAUUUGUCUGCCUGUCUGGCUAAUGUGCUGUAAUGAAUCUGCUCUCUGCCACACACACAUGUAUCAUCCUAUCAAUCAGUGAGAGGAAAUGCUGAGUAUGGUGAGCGCUAACAAGCACUCAGAGGGGUCAGUAUACCAGUGCACUACAGUGGCAAGCUACUUUCCCUACAGGCUGCUUUAAUUGGGGGAGCAUAAAUGAGAAAGCAUAUGGCUGGCACCAUGUCCUCUUGCCAAUCUCCCCACUUUGGCAAAAUGACUCUCUUUGCUUUGAUUUUUUCAGGGCAGUGCUGACCCUCUUAUGGCUCCUGCUGGAAGGCAAAUCCCUUCCAACUCUUUGGAAGUCUCUGGGUUAACUGGGGCAAAUGGAGAUGCUGGAGGAGCUCACUUGCAGGGGCUGGUGUGUAAUCAAAGGUUGCUGAAGAACCUGUAGGGAGAACACUUCUUUGCAGGUUGGAAAUCACCAGAAGUGGGAAAAGGUGGAGAAAAAUUAAGGAGGGGGCUGAGGAAAAGUAAAGCAAGGGGAGUGAUGGCACAGAGAAAUGGUGAAGGAAAUGGGAGAGAAGGAAACUGGAAGGGCUGAGGGAAAAUGGUGAGAAACCCAACGAGAGGAAAAGAAUAAAGACGUAAUUACAAAAAAGAUGUGGAAAGUCAUAUAUUAAUAUUACUGGAGAGAAAUACUAGAAGUAGAAAAAAAAAGAGAAAGCUAAAAAUUUUGCUCUGCAGAAGUCAGGGCGGACAAGAAGCAACAUCUCCAAAAGGUCUCAAAGAAGAUCAGGUUACCAGAGGGAUUUUUCAAAGGCAGGUUUCAGGUUUUAGACAAGAAAUCAUGCCCAACCCAUAAUUAAAUAGCAGUGUUUUAAGUUAUAUUCCUAUACGCAGGUUGACUUCUAGACAUGAUUUCUUUUUACCCGUUUGUGGGCUGCCAGCAUGCCAUUAAGGACUGAUUGUCAUUGCUCUGUAAUAAGACUUAUGAUUGAGUAAAUUUUCUACUGGAGGCUUCACAGCAAAGCCAAUAUGUCUUUUGUUGUCUGUCUGAAAGGUGAAAAGGGAUUUACUAGGAAGAAUGGAGGAAUUGUAAAUUUCUGCAGGAUUAUAAAGUCUAAGGUGGGAAUUUGGGGUUAACAGCAUGAAAGGACAGAUCACUACGCCUUUCUGAAAAUCCCAUGUUUUCUUUGCAUGGACUGAAGUUCUGGUUUUGAUAGGUGUAAUGCAUUUACAUGGCAGUCAAAUGAUAAAAAUAUCUUAAAGCAGUUUUUCAUUGCUCAGAAUGAGAACUAAUGAGGAAGCCAUUUUGAGUGAAGCGCUGUCCUAAAAUACAAUUGAGAACACAGUUUUUGAGAUCAAGGAUUUGGAAAGGUAGCAAGAAAGGGUUAAUUUGGUGGUUUAGAAAAGCAGUAGCAAAGGCUUAGGAAAGAGAAUUCAAAGUCUGAUAUUCAUGCUGAGGCCUCUUUUUGUGAUGCAAAACCUGGAUCUAGAUUAAUUUCUAUGUUGAUCAAGGAGAGUCACCUGUACUCCCCAAGAAGGCAGGUUAACCUAUAGAAAGAGCAGAAGACAUAAAAGAGCUGUUAGAUUUUCUCCUGUAGUAAUUGUAAGCCCUAUAAAUGAAGAAACAUUGGCUUUAGCAAACAUCUGGAUUGGAAAUUUUGAAAGAAAAUGCAGAGGAAAGUAGGAUGCCAUUUAUGACUCAAAAAAUGUGACUUCUGCUCUUGAAUGAGUGCCUGAUGAGGUACUGAGCAACAUGUGGUGAGAAGUUCCGUCCUUCCAUCAGUGAGCAAACGACAGGUUCCUACUCUCUGUGCUUAUGCCCUGCUGCCCUUUUCUCAGGACUGUUCCAGUAUCUUAGUCAAUGUUUAGCUUAGACAAUGACUAGAAACACACUUUGAAGGAAAAUUUGUUUUCUUUAGGAAUGGCUUUCAUCAAAUGUUAGUGCUGGAAAUUUUAGUUUUCUAUUAUUCAAGGAAUCAAUCAAAGCAAAUGUAUUAUUUAACAUUUCAGGUUUCCAGUUAUCUAGUUCCUUCUCUCAUCCUUAAAUGGAUACGUUUGAGUGGAGGUUAAAUUAUUUAAUAUAUAUAUUCCUUUUCCAGCCUCUCCUUCUCCGUGGCAUGCUGUUUGGCUGUCAUUGUUGGACUGUGUAUUCGCAAGUUCAGGAUUGUGUAUGUCCUUUGUAAAGACCAUUGGCAAAUUUUAGGUAAAAAGAACAAUAGUAUAUUAUAAGAAUUACAAUUGGUAAAACCAGAAAUACUCAUUAAAAUACAAAAAUUCAAAACAAGAACUCUUCCCUGGUGAGAAGGUGUUAUGACUGGAAGAACUCUGUUGUUAUGGCAAUAUUUUAAAAGAGUGAACAGUUUGUUCAUCAUAAAUAGCAAAAGAAUGGCUGAUAUAGGACUUGCUCAACAAAGAACAAAAGAAAGAUGAAUGUGGCUUGUGUAAAACUGAUUCUGUCAAACUAACUUUGUGUUUUGAUGCAAUUUCAAGUUUGUUGAUAGAGGUAAGAGUGUUAAUAUAAUAUAGUCAGAAUUAUUCAAGGUGUUUGAUUAGUAUCCAUGGCAAAUUAACUUUCCAUGCGAUAAUUGCAUUAAUUAACUAAAUAACUUGCAGAUGUAAAAAUGGAUUUGGAAGUAGGGGAUCAUUACUGAUUUCAGCAUAGUCCUUUGGAGUAGCACAAGAGUAAGUUCUUGGUCCAGUGCUACAUGAAUGUAUCAUGAACUACUGAAAACAGUUUACACGUUUAAGUGACUUCUUUGCUGAAGAAGCAGAAAAGAGUGUACAAAAAUUCCACCAGUAUGAAAGAGCAUGAGCUUUUCAAAUUGUCAAACUGUGUGUGUAACUGAAAAAUGUGUAUUUUAUUAAGAAAUACGAAAAAUGCAGAAAAUGAAAAGCUCUGUCAGGCCAUAACAAGAUGGAGUACUUUAUCCUGGGAACCUGUAACUUUGUCAAAGACUUGGGAGUCAGAGACCUUGAUAAAUUUAAAAUGAGCUGCCAGAGCAGCAUUGCAGCAAAAUAAUUAAUCAAAUGUGUAUAUCUAAACAUGUAAACAAAUAAAUAAAUAAAUAUUGCUUUAAUAGGACCAGGAAUACUGCUGUACCUGUGUAUUUGGGGCUGGUCUGACCAUUACUGGAUUCUGUGUCAAGUCAGAUCUCCCCAGAUCUAGUAAGAAGGUAAGGACUAGGCAAAGAGUCCAGAAAAUUAUUGAAGUGUGAAAAUACAUGAAUUAUCAUAAAAGAGUUGAGGAAUACCAUCUGUUUAACUAAUGUAAAAUGAACUUUAAAGGUGACCUGCAGAAAACACAUCAAUAGCUGUAGAGACACCAAAAUGCUGAGAAUAGGCUCUCCAACACCCACAGCAGAGGUGUGCAGGGGACAGUGGCUGGCAGUUGAAACUGGAGUCCCUGGAUAAGAGUCUUUUCACCUGAUUUCAGGCAUCUGCAAGGUAGGUAUUUGACAAAUACUUUUCCAAUAGCUCCCAGUGAGGCCAGAGUGAUUCUUGACUGCAUAUACUGAGAAAAGCUCUGCAAAAGGGUCUAUCUGUUAACCAUUUUAAAAUCCCCACCGUACUACAAUCAUCUAGAUGAGUGGCUAGGGAGAAAAAUACUAUUGCAGUGACCUGGUACACUGAGAAAGCUUGGAGGUAAGCUUCUCCAAAACAUGUCUAUAAAUGGCUACAUUUAUUUUGGAAAGAGUUGUUUUAAAGCUGCUGGGGCUUAAUUUCAAUAGUUACUAUUUUAGAAACUUUCUGUAGGUAAAUUUUUUUAUUUAAAACCAGAAUAAGUCCGGUUCAGACAUUGUCACGUAGGAAGUCAUAGCUUUUUCACACUAUUCUGAAAGUCACAAAUACCUGUUAUACUUAAAAGUCCUGGAUUGCCUGGCCUUAUAUUUCCUGUGUAGGGAGUCUCAUUUACCCUGUACCUGCUACGCUGACAUCUUUCCAGUUCCUUUUUUUAUGUCGUCUGUUAGUUGCAGUGACUCCCCCUGUUUCAUACAGCAGUGCAAACACUUCCCGUAGCCUGUUUCAUUUUUGGUGGCUAAGUAUAUACUUUGAUAGAUUUUGAUAGAUUAGGAAACAGUAUAAAAGGGAGAAAAGGAUGGCAGUGUCUUACUACUCCCACAAAUAUACAUAAUUUGAAAGCAUGAAGACGCACUAUAUGUUCAAGAACAUCCUUUUUGGAUCCAGGUAUAUAUCUCAUCUGCCUCUGUAGGUUCUGUGACACCAUCUUGGGGCUUUGCCACACAUCUCCUGUGUAAAUGAAGUAUUAGCAGCACACAGGAAUACAAAGAUACUUAAGCCAGAAUAGACCAGCCACCCAUACAGCUCAAUAAUCUGUUUCAGAAUCCUUCUUUGGGAUCUUCCCUAUCUCUGAAACAAGUGUCUAAAUCUGAACGAGAUGCUUUAGCACCUUUUUGUGGGCAGUGGAGCAAGCGUGCCCUUUUAAGACCCCAUUUAUCUGCCUUAUCUUGGGUGUUUACUUUCAAGUAAGAUGGAUUGAACCCUCAAAGUGCCCUUUUUCUUCCUGUUGACUGAAAAAAGUCUAGAUAAUUAGCUUGGAUGUAGACAUCUUCAUUUUCUCACACAUGUAAAGUCAAAUGAUUUCCACCUCUAUGUCUUUUGCUUCAGAGAAAGGAUGAAAGUCUCAAACCUUCUUGCUUCCACUUUAAAAUUAGCUUAUGAGCUGAUGCUUGAGGGUUAAAAUUUAAUUUUGUGUCAAAUUACCACAAGUAAUUAAGGUUAUUAUGCUUUUAAAGUCUUCCUGAACUGUUUGCUGGAGCAGUUUCUAGCAGCACAGUUGUGUUCACUUAAUUCAGAUAGAUUGUUUCACAGCAGUCAUUUGAAAUAUGCUGCUUUUCAGUUUUAUGGACUAUAAUGUACUAUUUUAAUGUAAUACUUACAUUUAUUGAUAUUAAUAAAAUAAUUAGAUUGAUAUUGAUAUUUAUAUCAUGAAAAAGAGUAUAUAGAGAAGAAGAAAGGUAGAAAUGAGGUGAUGGUGUUCAGAAAUAAGAGGGAAAUGGGAAAUGGAAUGGAGAGCAAAAUAUUUUUUUGAAGAUCUGGAAAGAGGAGGAGCAGAAUAGAGAGGAAAAAAUACGGGUAAGUGGGAAAAAAAUAGAGACAUCUGUGUAGGAUCCUCAGGCUCACUCAUUAUUUUGUAGACUUUUAGAAUCUCUCUUCUUCUCCUUUUUAAACUUCACAGACUUCUUCUUUUUAACCUUACGGUGUGUAAAGUCCACAGUUUCUAUUCUUCUUCCCAUAUACCUCAUCACUUUUUGUCAUUUUUUUAGACCUUUUAUUUUUGCUAUGUCUAUUCUUGCACACACCUCUUCACAUCUGAGUACAGCUGUUGACCUACUUCUGUGUGAUAAUUCCCAUAGCAUGGGAAACACUGAUGUCGCUGCUACUGAGAGUAAGUUCAGUAGGUCCAUCACCUUCAUCAGUUGAAGAAAGCAUUAAUGCUGGAUCAAAAUUUGAUUUUUGACUCAAAAUUAGAAUCACAGGUAACAAUUCUCUGAGGUCCUGAAGCUGUCUACUAUUAGGAUGGUUCAGUCUAAAAUGUAUUGUAUUUCUUUGUAUGAAGGAGGCCAAGUGUGGAAGAGAGGUGUCAGAAGAGAAGUGGUCAUGCUUUUAUCAUAGGAUCUUUUGAUUUCUUCCCCUGUAUUCUCAGCUCAGGGCUCUGAGAAGUCUGUCCACACUUGCACAUUUAAGUGUGUCCAGGACAUAUCCAGGCAGUGAUCCUCUCCGCACCUCUUAGGAAGGUACUUGUCACAGUUUUAGCCUAUGCCAACUACUGCUCUCCCUCAAUGAGGUUUGGCAGUUACAAGGUCCUGGGACAGUUCAUAAUUGACAUUUUGGAAAUAGUCAUGUUCUUGUGAUUGGUAAAGCAUUUACUGACAAAAAUAUGGGCUCUUCCAUGACUUCUGGGCUCAGUGCCCACUGCCAUUCCCAAGCAUAUAAAUUUUACGAAGAAAAUGAUACCUUGAGAGUCCUGUAAAUCCUCUCUUUUUACAGCCAUGUGCAGUUCAGUGUACAUUUCAAGAUGGGUGGUGCAAAAAGGGGCAGAACCCAUUUGCAAGGAGGGAUAAACAGGUGUGUUGUUGUUGUUUUUCCAUGGGGAAUCUUAACAGGUCCCAACUGGAUUCACAAAGGUUUUGUAAUUUUAAAGUACGGAACGGUAGCGCAAAGGCUGCUGGCCUUACGUGGAGAGUGUGCAGGCUUUUUCAGUGUUAAUGAAAGGAGACUCAAUUUCUUGUCACAGAGAAAAUUAAUUAGCUCCACAGACUUGCAAAGCAGAUCAGCAUUUUUUGAAAUUCUAGCCCAGGAUUAACAGCAUAACAGGCCUCUCAGCUUCCUGUUGACUUCAGUAGAAAGGUAAGAACAAUGAUGGAAGUUAGGAGUCUGAUAUAAGUCUAUACUUGACAGUCAUGCUAUUCCUGAACUGACAAAUGGCAGCCAAGCAAGUAGUAGUCAAGCUGAAGGGUCACUAGGGAAAAAAGAGCUUUGAAACAGUAGUGCUACUCUCUAUGACAAGGACUAUAGUAAUUGAAUUUUGAAGAGACCUGCCUGUUCAGAUAUUAAGAAUUAUACACUAUAUUAGUAAUUACAUAACAGAUGAUACUAAUGAUUCUUAUGCAAGUGUUUGUUAAACCUGUAAUUCAGAUUUAAUGAAUAACCAAUGACCUUUUUUACAAGAAGGAAACCCACACUUCAUUUGUAAGAUUAAUCUUAUUUAGAGCAAAAAUUCUCCCUCUGUAUAGCUGACAAUAUUCAGCCUAAAUUAGCAUCUGUUGAAGUGAGCAGUUGAGCUUCAUCUGACAUUUAUUAGGACAAAGGUAUAAAGGCUGUGCUGUGGCACUACCAUUUAAUUGUCAGGGCAAUUAGUUGCCACUUUGGAUAUCAGAAUUGUCACUGAGUUACAAAAAAAAAUUAAGGGAAGAAGCUGUUGGUUGUUAUGAAGACCCAGAUGAAAUGGUUUCCUUUUUAACUGGAAAUUAUGUCUGAAUUUUAUACUGCUCAUAAAACCGAGAAUCUGAUGGCAUAGACUGGACCCGGGCAUAACAAGAAAAAGUUAAUAAUUUUAACAGUGGUUGGUCUACUUGUGACUUCAAACCAACUCUGACUUUUAUAAAAAAUGUAUAAAUUACUGGAUGCUAGGGGCAAAGUCCCUGUAGUGUUUAUGAUUCCCUUACCUCCCUAGAAAACUCAGGAUUAUUUAUUUUCUUUUAAACUGUAUUAAUAUAUUAAUAAUAAAAGACUUUGUGUCCUCAUGCAUUAUUCUGUGAGUCUUAGUUCAUUUUCUCUGCAGUUUACGUAGAUCUCCUUAAGCAAAUCAGAUGUGCAAGUUGUCCAACAGUUUGACUCUUAUCUCUUACUACAAGAGCUUUCUUAUUUUGAAAAAUAUUCAUAUAGUUACAUUCUUUCAACAUACAAGUAAACUAGCCAUUGCAGGGGAGACUACCCUUCAACUGCCCCCUUUUAUUGGUCUCUUUGUUCUCAAAUGGUUUCUAAAUAUCUUCGCAAUCAACUGUUGCUUAUGUGUCAUGUAAAGUUAACAUGGCAGAGCCAGAAAAAAUCUGGCAUGGAAAUGGGAGUCCAUUUAGCUCAAGGGUCUGAUCACAAGUGCAGUGUCUGGAAGCCUGUACUCUGGCAGCUUGUACAAUGGCUGGCCUUUAGAUUAAUAUAGGAAUGCAGAGCUACAAGUCCCUUAAUCUUCAUAAAGAAUGACAACCAUUCCUAAAUGGCUGAAGUCUCUGUGUUUUGUGUUUAUUCUUUCCUUCUCCUUUCUUCAUCAAAGUGGGAUUUAUCAGUUCUGAUUUUGUCCCGAUCAACCUCUACAGUCUUUUUCAUGUGUUGGUUACUUCUGUAGCUGGACAGAUCUGAGAAGGUGAUUCUCUUUGUUAUGAAGGAGACAUUUUAAAUCAAACUCUAGAAAGAAGAUAGCGAAAUUUUUGCUUUGGUGUUCCAGAGACCUCUGGGGUAUGCUGUCAUCCAGCUGUGUAGAGGGAGAAUUUUGCUAUUUCAGCUGCCAUUUACCAGCCCUGGAAUGGUGGUAAUGCAUCUCACAUAUUCAUUCAAAAUUAUUUACAGCCAUCCUCAAAAGUCCAGUAUGAUUUUACCGUAAGGCAGAUGAUCUUGUCUAAUUAAGUGGCCUGUCUACUUUCUGCGCAGUGCUGACAAGGUUAAGUUCAUUUAAAGCUGUAUUAUAAUUGAAUUAGCUUCUGUACAUUAUUUUCUGAGCAAAGACCUAGGACCUGUGGAGGCCAGCACUUCAAAACUUAGGAAAGUAAUACUUUUCCAGAGGCACAACAUUAAAAACAUCUGCUACAAAAAAGUGACUGAAUCUUUGCAAUUUAGAGAUCAAUUGAUUUCAGGUUAGCUUAUUUUGUUGGAGUGAGAGGCAAAGAGAUUGAAAUGAAUGAAAACUCCAGAUAGCCUAUACAAGUAGUUGAAAUCAGACUGCAAUAGUGUCAAGAUGCCAUAAUUCAUCUGUGAUUAUCUGCAGUCCAGCAAAACAACAGAGGUGAAGCCAAUCUGAUUCAUGACAUAGUACACUUCUUGCUUAUUUUGAAGGCUUGGAGCUGAACAGGCCAUUUUCUUGGUACUCUGGAGUGCUGCAAUAAGUAGCCCAUACGAGCUAUCUCUCUGUAUCUCCGCCAUGGUCUUUCUGCUCUUUUUAUUGCCAACUCUGUUUGCUCUAAACCCUUGUUGAUAUCUGGCAUGUUGUGAUCCUGACUACACCAUCUAUUCUCAUACUUAUCACCAUUAUAUCCACUCCCGUGAAAAUUUUUUAUUAGUGAACUUAAAUACGAAGUGGUCUUUGCCCUCCUGGGUAUAUCAGCUUUAUCCAUGAAAGUACUACUCUUUCUUUUAUUUCAUGGAAUUCUUAUCUGUCAUAAUAUUAGGGCCAGCUUUUGGAAAUAUGAAACCACUGAUGCUCAUUUCUAAAUCUAUGUACCAUCUUCUUGUACUUUUUUGAAAAAGGGUAUUUAGUCAUUCUCUGGUAUUUCUUGAAGUGCAUUUUUCCAGAAAUAAGGCACAUGGUUGCUGUCAACAAAAACCUGUAGCAAUCUUGGGGUUGUUUUCUCUACGAGUUGGAAGGAAAAAAAAAUACAUGUGUCUUUUGCAUCUGUCCUAACUCACAGCCGGUUCUGGAUCUUUUAGCUAUACUUCAAAUGUCCUGCUGUAUGAGCUUUUGAUGAGUAAAACAUGAUGUGAACCUUUCAUAUUUGCCUCUGAGGAAAAGAUAGAAACAGCUCUUUAUAUCUGAGGUUUGAUUUGACAGGGAAUUUUAGGACAUUUCAAUUUUAUAUCAGAAGUAAAAUGUACUCCCUAAACCACAAAACAUAUUUGGUUUGGGCCAUUGUAUCAUACACUGUAGAGGCAGAUACUCAAAAUUCAGUGAAAAUGAAGUGAUUCAUUGCCCAUCAAAUGCAAAUACAAAAUAAACCACAAAGAAUUCACCAUCAAUAAAGUAAGACAAGAAUUCUCUUCCACAAAUUCAGUUGUCUGAUAGUCAAAUCUGUAGUACAGAAACAUAGGCUUAGUCUCCAUGACAGUUUUCACUUAUAAAUGGGCACAUUUAUCCUUUCUCAAGAGACAGUUAUUUGAAUGCAAUAAUAAGUGAGACUGCUUAAAAUCCACAAAACUGAGAACUAUAAAAAGUUAGCAAUGGAGAAAAGUGUAACAGACAUAAAUGGCCUUGGUGCUCUUCAAAAGACAAUACCUCUUGUGAAUGGCAGCAACUUUUUCUAGUGUCCAUAAACCUAAAGGAAGAAAAUAUAGUGUUACGCUACAUCCAUGAUCAUUUUCAAGGCAAUGCAACUUGCAGAGGUUGUCAAGAAAGCCCAAAAUCCCCACAACCCCCACACCUCUAGCAUUCCACAUUCCACUUAUUUCACUCAGGGCUGCAUAUUUAUUUUGAGAUUAAUUUGGUACAUGUAGUGUACAUUUGCCGAGUUUUUUUUCCUAUUUAAAUCUUCAGUUCCAAAGCUAUGUUUUAAUCCUAUUACUGCUAAUUGAGUGAAGUCUGCAGUCUUUUUGAGUUAGGUGAAGUUCAAGUUGUAAUUGGUAUCAAAGAAAGGCAUAAUGCGAGAACUGAAUAUUAAUGUUUAACUCUUGCCAUUUUAUUAUUUCCACUUGAAAAUCACAGCAGUGGUUAAAAGACCUUUUUAUGAGUUCAUGGGGGUAGUGAAUUGGAGACUAUGGGAUGAGAUUUUUCAUUCAUGCAGCAAGAUUAACAAAAAUUGCUUUGUAAGAAGUGUAAAUGAAAUAUUAUACUGGUGCCCAGUAGUACUGGUUAUAGCUACAGGUCUCUGAGUAUUUCCAUUAUGAAAUUUUGCCUGUAGGUUAAGUAGCCGCACUGUAAAAUUUUGCUCAAGGCUAACACAGCAUACAAGAUUCUAACCCAGGACAUAUUUUGUUUCAAAUCUUCUAUUUAGUCUUCUGCAGAUAACUGGAAAGUGUGUCAGUUUUGGAUGACGUUUUGUAUUUGAGUACUUUUUAAAUGACUGUGAUUUUAAAGCAGAAUGUCUCAUAAGAUACACACACAAUCAUUGAUUAAUUGCUUGUGACUGAAAAUAAGGACAAAGACCACACAGGACAAAGACCACCCCUUUGAUUUCAGAUCCCUAAACAAGUACAUUUGUUUGCCUAAAAUAAGUUAUUCAAAGAGAAAAAUGGUUAAUUUGUUCAAAGGCCAAAGAAAUUAAAAUAAAAAUGGCCAUUGACUUGGUGGUUUAGGAAAGAACUUUUAGCACCUGAUUAAAGAAUAUUUAGAAAACAAGUUAAUGAAGACUUUAUGUAAGUAAUAUUUUCCUUUAUUAUUCUGAUUUUUUUCAUUGGGAAUUACAGGCUCCUUCUUCAAUCAUAUCCACAGUGCACAUUUACAAUUAUACCCUUAGGACUGCUAUAAUCAAUUAUUUGAGAUCAAACUUGAUAGAGACCACAACACAGGAAUCAUUCCAGCAGCAUAGUAGUAGCAACUGUAUUUCUCAGAACUGUAUCUUGCUGAAAUCUCAUGAGAACCAGAAAAAAAAUUGCCUGAAAGGAAGAAAAAUGAUAAAAAAAUAAUGCUGGAAGUCAGAGUAAACAAACAAAGUGAUGAAAACAUGGGAAGGAAGCAAAAAAGAGAUUAAAAAUUAGGCAGAGAGAAAAAUACUGAAAACAGCAGAGCAAAAAGAACACAGCUUGAAAUAUUGUAUCUCCACCAUUCACUUUACAUUAGAUGUGACAGAAUGUGAUAAUUGUUGCUUAUUUUUUCUCUUGAAAUUGUUGUUCAUCAUAAAAACAUUGCAGAUAGUCUCAACAAGUGUAUAACUAACCAUGGUAGCAAAGCUGGUUCCAGAGUGAGAUGUUUGAUUCUAAACACCUUUUCUGUGUACUGUGAUUUCAGACUGAUGUACAUAUAAUCAAAGCUUGGUUGGUCUAUUCACACACACCAUUUUUGCCAUUAAUAUUUUAUGUUAAUUUACUGCAGAGUUUGUUGCAUUGAAAAACUAGCAAAAUUGGCCCCCCAACUGGAGUCCAUACAGGUCUAGUAACUUUGUGAGGUGCAUUAAUAUGACUGUAGUCAUAGACAAUUUUUUUUUUUAAUAUGAUAUUAUGAAACUAAAACUAGAUUGGAACCACACAAUAAAUAUAAGCUUUUAAGCUUGGAUUAUACCUUCCAUUAGUGAUGUUACAAAUCAUGGACAUAUUUCUAAAGGAGAACAGACUCCACAUUUUCUUCAUAUCUAAACCAUAAAUAAUUGAAAUGUAUCCUGAUGUUUUAAUAUUGAAAGAGGCAGAUUACAGUUAGAGGCCGAAGGGUGUGAAUAAUUAAAAAUAGGUUGUACUAGGUCUUGAGAUAAGCUAUGGUAUCUAACACAUAGAGAAUGAAAAAAAAAAAAUUGAAUGUUGCUACAACAAAUUCCAACUGACUUAGUGACAAUUUUGCCCUGAAAAUGCCUUGAAAUAUUUGUCUUGAAAAAUCCAGUGUGGCUGAAUACAAAUAAACAGUGUCACCCACUUCAUGCUACUGAAAAACAUGGAUUUUGUGGCUUAAGCGAUAAUAUUAAUAGUUAAGACAUUUCAUAGGGUGUGCUUGAAGUAUCAUCCAGUUCAUCCAAGCUCCAAACUUAGUUGUGUCUCUAGAUUUUUCCUUUAGUUAGUAGAAAUGCCAACAACAUUAGAAUAUGAACAUUCAGUUCAUACCUUUUGGGGACUGGGGCUCAUUGCCUCCAGCAUCCUUUUGUAUCUGUUUAAGUUAAGUGAUUUUCUGGCCCCUACUGACAUUUUGACAACAUCAUAUAAAUUUUAAAGUUUCACCUCCCACUGUCUCACUGUGAGGCAGGUGUCACAUUUUACAGGUGAAAAUUUAAGAUGCAGAGACACAAAUUCAGCUCCUCAUAGUGCAAGGCUUAGCUUCCACAAAUACUUAAAUGGAUCCAGCUUUUUAGUCAUGUCAUUAAUAGGUGUCUAAUCAAAGUUAGCUGUCCAAGUCUCCCUCUGUGAUGAAUGUUAAGAGACAGGCAUCUCCAGAGAAAUAAAAAAAAAAAAAAAAAAAAAAAAUUCCACCUUUAUAUAAAAUCUCUCAGAGGUAUGUGAAGGUGAUUCACUUUCUGGGGGUCUUUUCUCUUGCUAUUGUCCAAAAGACAGACUUUUUCUUAGCUUAGACUAGAAAACUAUCUCUCAGAGAUGAAUGUUACUUGUCAUGAAUGCUCAAAAUUAUCCAGGGACCCAUGUUCAGGUAGGAAAUUGCACCAGACUCUUUGAAGUCUUUGUGUAGCAGGUAACCACUGAGCCAUUCUUCUUGCAACCCAGAUGAUCUUCCUCCAGAGACUCAGUCCACUUCGCUUACAUCCAACUGAAGCACAAAGUCUUUUCUUCCCUUCAAGUCAGUAGCACGUACUUCAUCCUUUCACAGCAGGAUCAGCACCUAUUACAACAAAUGCUGCUCCACAAAUGACUGUGGGAUGCUAAUGGUCAUAUUUUAAGACAGUAAUAUGGUCAGCUUUCUGACCUGCUUGACAGUAUGUUCAUCGUACAGCCUUUUGCUCCUCUGGUGCUGACCACUGGUAGAAGUAGGACAAGAUGAACUUGUAAAUGUGACGUCUUCCAAUAUAUAACACAAAAUAUUUAAUGUUAAAUGCUGUGUGUUAUUCAUCUGGAGUAUUCACAAUGUGAAAAGUUUUCCACAGUAGUUCUGCAAUAAAACAAAUGUAACUUCCCUGCAGGCUGGCUAAGAAUUGGCACCUGCAAACUGGAAGACCUGGGACCAAUUCCAAAACCCGCUGAAAACGAUAUGACUUUAUUGAGCUUUAUGUUGAGUCUACAGAAGCAGCAUUUUUAGAGUUACAAGAAGCAGCAUUCUGUGUUCAAAAAGAAAAUAACUCUGAAAUAUUUUGAAAGCAUUCCAGCCAGUGAUACUUUCAGGAGACUUGGUCUGAUCAGACACUCUGCCGAUUUGCAUUUAAAUCAUUAUUAAAAAAACUCGGUAUGGAAGUUAUUAUUUUGGAUCACAAGUAACAAAACUUAAGGGGAAUCCAGCUCUUUAAAGCCCUGUGUCUGGGUGAAUAAAAUUGAACACACAGAAAAUGAAAAAAAACCCCAAACAAAUCUGUGAAACUUUUCUGUUCUCUUAUUUGAAAUCUUUAUACCAGGUCAGGUGCACAGGGCUAUUUUAAGCACACUUUCUACUACAAGAAGUGCUGAUGACAUUUCAGAAGCAGUUCCCCCACUGGUGUGCUACAGUUAAUGGGCCACUCUUGAGAUAACAGCAGUAGUGCUUCUAAAAAUGUGAUGAUCCUCUGCAAAUAGAAACCUCUUUCUCUGCAUUAUGCCCACUGAAUCAAAAAACAAUACUAAAACACUUCUCUGUGGAACACAGAUUUGGCAGAAAUAAAGCUUAACUGGACUUUAUUCUCAAAAAUGACGAAAUUAAAAGAGAAUCUACUAGAAGGGGUAGGCUCUUGCCAAUCAUUUUUUCUCCUUAUUAGAUAUUACCCAACAUAUAAAUAUAUGUAUCACUCCCUCCAUGUAUAUAUGUAUCUGUUUAAAAUAUAUUCUAAAUGUGUGUAUGAAUAUGUGGAAGUGUAUAUAAAAGUCAAAAGCUGUGAGAGAUGAACCAUUGUCAUACGCUGCCAUAAAUAUACAUUAGAGUCCCCAGAUCUCUGCUCCUUAAGAGUCUAAUCUCUGGCUGUUCCCAAUGGAUCAACAGUUUUAUUACAGAAAUUCCCUCAAACAUAGCACCUGGUAGGCAAACAAACAAGUAACAUAUGACUUCUGUUAAGGUGGUUGAAAUACAGUAUGUACUACAUUCAGAUUUUUAUUUAAAUUAAAAAAAAAAAAAAAAAAAGCAAGUGGCUAGAAUGGAACCACUGGUUAUUGUUGCAGUACAUAUUAAACAUUAAACUCACAGAUCAAAGCCUAGAUAAGGUACAUUAAGUUGAGAUUCUCAAAAAUGUCUACAUGACUUAGAAAUGCGGUCUCUAUGACUUCAGUUAAUUAAGGAGUGCCAAAUUAUGCAGCAAACAGGUGAAUAUAUAAUUUUCUUCAAUGGUAAUACUAAAUCUCUCUGGUGUGUCAACAACAUUCAUGUGGUUAACCUGAAUUACAUUACAAUUUUUUUUUCUACGCUUUGUUCUUUCACAGUUGGAAGAUGAAAACGGAUUUUCUUUAUAGCUCUAUGAAGUUCCUCUAGAUAUAAGCAUAUUCUUAGUUUCUUAUGGAGUUUCCUUGCUGUCAUUGUUGUCCAUAUGCAGCCAUUUGGUUCACUGCUUUUCUUCGCAGCUCUUAAGUUCAUCAUGCAUGUUAGGUCUUUCAGAAAGUAUUUCUGACAUACUGAAAAGGGAAUUUUCUCAGGUGAAGUAUUGAACAGUGCUCUUCAAGACCAACAAAUAUAAUAAACAUCUUUAAUGCAUUAUGUUUCAGUAAGAAAAUCACUAUAAUUUCAAUUAUUAGAUGUUAGUUAGCAACUAGAUCACACAUGACACAGACAGUAUAUUUGAACAAAUGUUAAUAUUUCAAAAACUUCAUAGUUAGUGUAGAUUGAUUCCUAGCAGAUGUUAAAGGUGUGUGUGUUUUCUUUCCUUUUUUUUUUUUUUUUUUUCUCUCAUGUAUUUUUAAUAACAGUGUUUUCUGCAUCAGAUUUGUGGCUUUGAAUCAUGUGUUUGGAUGUUUGUUUGUUUGGUUUUUCUUUUUUUUCUCCUAUACAUGCCCCUUGCCUAAUGCAUUUUCUGCCUCUUCUGAUUGUUAUUUGCUACAUAUCAAAACAACUGAAGUUAUAUUUUCAACCUUAUAUCUUCAUACCUUUCAGUUAAUGUUAACAUUAGAGAGUUGUUCCACAAGAAUUAUUCACAUCAUGAGAAAACACAGUGUUUUUUCAAAAUAAUAGUAUUUGAUUAAAGAGUUUUAUUAUUUCUGUAUUGUUUCAUUUUCAUAUUGUUGCAGAUAUGUGAUCUUGUAGCUUGUAUGUUUUCUGGGAUUCAAAGGAUACUGUAGUGACUUUAUAACUUCUCUGGAAUAGGUUGAGAGUUUUGUAUGUUUGGUGGAGACCUCUAAAAUUUCUAUAAAAUCAGAUUAAAUAAAUAUAUUUGGUUUUCUAUUUUCUAAGGAAGUGUACUAUUAAACUUCAGCUUUUCUUCUGCUAUCUCUCAUGGGUAUGAAGUCUCUGGUGCUUCUUGAGGUUGUGUUGUAUUAAACAAAUAAGAAACUUUCGAACAGGCCUCAUAGUGAAGCAGUGUUCAGUGAGGCUUGGUUUCAAAGUGGCAUCCAUCACUUUCCCAAGGUAGCACUAUUGGAUCAUUUUUAGGACAACUUUCAAAAGAAAUGUGGCGUUUUUUGAUGGUCAUUGCCAUCUGUUUGCUCAUCACCAACCUUUCUUUCCUCCCACAUCAAUAGUUCUUGAACCUGCAAGGGAAUUUCAACAGAAGUGCCUCGAAGUGUCAUGGAGAUCCACAGGUGGGUAGGGAAAAAAACCAUAAAUUGUACAACAGAGAAAGAAAACUCUAAUGACUCUGUGGAGUUGUAAGCAAGGGGCUGUGCAUAGCCUGUUGGGCUCAAGUGGGACUCUGGAUCAGGAGCCCAUGUGCUGCAAGCCCCCUUCCCACCAUUGGAAGGUGCAGUGCAGUGAUCAUGAGGAACAAUCCAAAACAGGCUAACUAGGAGUCCUGGCAUAGAAAGCUUAAAAGGAAAUAAAACAGAAAUCCAUGGGAAACAGCACUGUAUCAGUUUAGUUAUUCAUGGACAAGCUUGUUAAUAUGCAACAUUGAAAUUAUAUUAUGUAUAUGUGACAAUGUCAUGAGGGACAACUGCUACAUUUUAUUUAUCAUAUUUCUUCAGCUCACAUUCAUUUUGAGGCUCAUCGUCUGUGUCUAUUUUUGUACUGCAGGUUGUUAAGGUAGUGUAACAAACCAAUGCUUUUUACUGGUGUGUUGAAUUUUGAACCAGGCUUUGUAUUUAGUUGCUAUGCUUACAGUGUUCCACAUGUGAAAAUAGACACCUUUUCCUCUGAAAGCUUGAGCUGCCUCAUUUACUUCAUCAGAGUCCUGUGCAGUGCAAAAAGUUCAUGCAAAAUGUAUAGUAAUAAAAUUAUUGUUAUUAUUAUUAUCCAGACAAAGUUCCUAAUCAAUGACAAUAAUUUAAAAGCAAAAUGGUAGGCUUUUGCCACUGUUUAAAUUAAAUAUACUAGUCAUUAACUAAGAGAGAGGAUCUAAAAAUAAGAUGCAAUUGCCAGGGAAAAAGCUCAAUUUCUGAAUCGCGUUACUGAAAGAAGAAAGAUGCAUUAAUGUGAUGAGUUUCAGAACCAUAUAAUAUUCUUGUUGUAUAUACCAGAGAGGUAACUUUGGACUGCAGCAUUAUAAAUGAAUUUAAGAAGAAGUUAGAUAUAACCCUUAAAGUAUCUUAUUUAUUUUAUUACUGAGAAGAUAUUUGUUUCUGCUUUGGAAAACCAGAAGGUUUUAGCCCAAUGAUGCUCAGUUCAUACAAGGUUCAGAUACUCAUGCUUAAGUUCACCAGGGCAACAUAAUUUAUAUACAGUUAAGAAUCUAGCUGAGAAUAACUUGGACUUCUUUUCUGAGCAAUUUUGUUGCUUUGUGCUUUUCUUCAAGUUCAAAUCAAUUGCUCUUGUAGACAAUCAACCAUUGUUUCUCUUCUCUUCUCUUCUCUUCUCUUCUCUUCUCUUCUCUUCUCUUCUCUUCUCUUCUCUUCUCUUCUCUUCUCUUCUCUUCUCUUCUCUUCUCUUCUCUUCUCUUCUCUUCUCUUCUCUUCUCUUCUCUUCU